GUAAACAUUUAAAAAAAGAAAAAAAGAAAGAAGUACGGCCUUCUCACCAUCCCACACCCCUGCUCACUAGGCCAUGAAACUCUGCUCUGUGUCAGCGGGGCUUCUGGGGGCACAGUGAGUUCCUGUCCCUCUGCGAUGCAGAGGUGCGUCCCUGCGGGGCUUGGCUUUACUUCCCUUGGAAGCAGGAUCAGUGUGUUACUGCAUCUGCAUCCUCAGUGGAAGCGAAAAUCCUGCCGCAUCACCGUCACAGAGAUAAGUACAAGCGUGCCUAAAUGGCAACCAUUCUAAGGAAAUCGUCUCGUGUUACCAGUGAUGGCUUUGGGCACACUUCCCCUUUUUGGUCUCUUCCAGGCAGGCUGUGCCUCUGGGCACGCCCCAUGGCUUCUUCAGGUCUGUCUGCUCAGCCAUCAGUCACAGGCUCAUGCGAUCUUCAGGAGCAAGACAAGCCGGGU